CUUAUACUCCCUCCGUCCCAUAUUAAGUGUCGCAACUUUGUCUAGAUACACAUUUACCUACACACUAAAACGCGUCUAGAUACAUGCGUACGCGUAUCUAGACAAAGUUGUGACACUUAAUAUGGGACGGAGAGAGUAUUUG
rfam:Brachypodium distachyon strain Bd21 chromosome 1, whole genome shotgun sequence.